rnacentral:lncRNA from 1 species
UCCAUCCUUUCUCGUCAUUUCUAUAAGGGGAUGAUUCAUGCUCCUCUUGUAUUUACCAUCUGAGAAUGUGCCCCACUCCUUCAGCUAUUUUCACUUCUUGUUCCUCUUUUUCAAGAAAAAAAAAAUGAAGAAGAAACAAAAGUGAUUGCUGAUGGAUGAGGCACAUCCCACUGGUGAACCUGGAGCGUGAGCUAAACCUGAACUGGACAGACAGGGAAAAAAAGAGGAAAAAACUUCCUUGAAAUGUUAAAUUGAUCAGAGGCCAAAUUAAGAAGUUCAGGCCCUGGCUCACAUUUCACACAUUUUUGAAACCCUGUGUGUUCAAGUUAGGGGCUGUGUUCAAAUAAAUGUGCUCAAACAUAGCCAGUAUAACAGUUUUUUUUUUCUUUUUGUGUGUUUAACAGAAAUCCCUUAUUUUAUUCAGUUAUUCAAUUCAAAUUUGUUUUUUCUCCAGCCUAGUUGUGGCUGUGACUGGCUCAACCCAUUAACGGGGGGAUGGGAGUGUUAAUGAUUGAUUGACCUGAUUGCAGGAGAGCAUUCUCAGAGAUGGCUGUAAGAUACAUAAAAACAUAAGGAAAUAACUGUGUCAGGCCCUGGGAAAACACUUGGACUCUUAUCCUCGAUUUCCACGUGAGACACAGCUUCUCAGUGCUGAGAUCAGUUUUAAAUUCUGAGAGCAUCUCUUGCCUUCCCCCUCUCACUGCCAGCCUCAGCAGACCCAGGGUGAGGCUGGGAUGAUCCAGGAGAUGCCUUAAAUCGCUCCCACAUCACUCUCCAAAGCAGAAAAGUGAAGCAAUUCCUGGGUACAGACCCACAGAAAGCUCCGUGUCUGAGGUCCAUUUCCUCCAGGAAAAAUAAUGAAUACAGCCCUGUAUUGUGGCCAUCUGUCGUUCUGGCUUGUGCUGCAAGAAGUUGGCAAAGAAUCCAUCAUGGAGAAUUCCUGCUGUUCAUCUCCUUACAACGAUCUGGGCCGGCUGGUGUCGGACAGAUGAUGUGCAAAGUCACCGGAGCUCGGUGGCACGGUGAUAUCACAUCUUUUGAGAUGCUGGCUGGGAACACAUCCAGGGGUCUGCUGCCAGCAGGGGUGAGGUCCCUGUGCUGGGGUGUGUGUCACCUGCCCAGCUGGUGGGUCCUGCAGGGUCUCUGUGCCAGUGGGUGCUGGUGUGAUGGAGUCAUUUCCCAGCGCCCAAGAGCGCUCCUCCCGCAAUAUGCUUCCAGCCCACUGCCGAAAGAACAACAAUAAAUAAAUGGAAUGAAA